GGAUAGGGAGUUAGCUACACUUCAUCAAGAGUAAGAAUGAGGAUGCUGGAGUGCUUCUUGGGGAUCAAAAGAGGGCUACAUGGGAGAGGGAGAGCACACCCUACAAUCAUCUUAAAUCUUCCUUAAGAAGACCAUCCAAAGGGAUGAUGUGAUGUCAAUCGGAGAGAGGGACCAGCAGAACAGCUCAGAUAGAAACUAUGUGUGGCCUUCCAGAGGUACCACCAUGCUGCUGGAAGUACAGUAGCACAAUCCCGGCGAUAGAAUUUCCAAGGAACCCUGGGCAUACCUUACGAGAAAAUCAACAUCGAGCAUAGAUUAAAUGAAGAGAAUGUCAAUGCCCAGGCAUGCAUCAGUACCAUACAGGUUACAGAGUAUGGCCACGUACUUCACUUAAAGAUUCUUCAUUCUCCUCAACAUAUCAACUCCCCAUUACCAUACAAAAUUCAGCUCUUUGUCAGCACAUCCAAAGUCUUCACUGAACCCCUUAAGCCAUAAACAAAAAACUUAGACUAUUUGGGAUGCCUCUAACUCACCUAAAGCAGGAAUAAUGCGAUUUCCUAUCACAUGGGAAUGGUGAGAGGAUUAAGAAGACACAGUGAGCGUCCAACACAUAGAAGGCCUUCAGUGAAGAUCAAUUGGUGAACACUAUCAUGAAGAGUUCCUUCCCGCUUUCGUUCAUUGGACAGUGAGUACAGAAAAAACAUUGUGAGGACUUCAGCUCUUAUUUUGGUGUAUUCUUGUUACCAUCACAGAGACUUGCCUUCCUCUUAUCAUCCAAAUGGCAAGUCUUGCCCUGCCCAAGAUCAGCAGGAAGACAAAACACUUGUGCUCAGUUUCUGCAACAUAAAAACGACAAAGCUCAGGCGGCUCCUUAGCCAGAGCCAUUCUAAAUGUUUCUGCCCCCAACUUAAUUGCAGUGAUAAAUAUCAUGUACAGAGCUGAGGCUAAAUGACAAAUGCAUAAACCAGCUGAAUAGCAGAAAAGAAAUAAGUCAUUAGGCCCCUGUCUCUGAUGCCCAGGGGAGGUUACCUGUUCCUCUUUUUCAACAGGCACCGCUGUUGGAGUACACUUUGAUGUAUUGCAUAAGUCAGCAUAGCAACAGCAGGGAUAUAUGUAUUUGUCCCGCAUUCAAGCAUCUCUCUGAAUGCUUUUAAAUACCAGAUUAUACUACCCAGACCACCAGGAAUUGGUAUUUAAUAACACAGCUAGCAAGAAGUGUGGUAUCCCAGCAAAUCCCACCUGUUCUCUGUGCAGACCAGGAGCAAGGCACUGUGUGGGACAUUCUUGUGAACAACCAUCUCAUGACCCCUUGAGCACUCAUGGGAAGCUGGGAUUACAUUAGACAAGGGAGAAACUGAAAGCAAGAGGGUAAGAAGCCAAUAAGGGCAAUGUGUCUGGUCAGUAGCAAGGUAGAACCUCAAACUCAAAUCUUCUGGUUUCAACUUCCACGACCUUGAUGCUACUGUGUGGCUGCCUUGGUCUUCUACCUAAAUUCUCAUUUACCUCCCUGAUUAAAUCACAAGAAUCCUGGGAACUGUAGGAGGAUAUACUGAGAAUCGAUGGGAAUGAGGUCAUCAACCAGUGGAGUGGCUAAUUUCUUUAGAUCAAAAUCUGAAAGAUACAUUUCACCAGGAAGACUAUUCUGUAGAAUAGAUUCAAAUCUGACUCAGCUGCUUCCAUUGUAAAUGUUGGGAGAAGUAGAGUCUGACCCCCUCAACAGCCCUGAGUUCUCCCUGCUGUACUCUGAAGUGGCCACCUGCUUGGAGAACAGUUUCAUUCAGACCAACAGCCAAAUUUGAUCACUGAGGAAGCUGAGUUCCAGAGAGAGGAACGGAUCCACUGAGAGACAACUUUUUAAGUCUUCAGACUUCUGCCUUUAUUUUCUCACAGAACCCUGUUUGCCACAUGUCAAUAUAUCAGUGUAUUAUGAGGAGUGGUGAUUUGCCCAGCUGCACCUGGAGGAUGGGACUUGGAGCUAGGAUUCCACCACAGGCUUUCUGACCCCAGGCUCUGUGCCUUUCCUCCAUUCCACAGCUGCAUCUAGGGUCUCUCAUGAGCGACGGAAAUUUGUGCUUCAUUAAAAAAAUUUUGCAAAGCUCCAUAACUGUUCUGUAUGGCCUGAAAUCCCCAGACUCCAGUGCCUACCAGUUCUUAAUAUUUAUUAAACAGGCAUCACUUCACUGGUUCUUAUCUGGAUCACGUUCUCAGAGUCUUAACUCAGCACUGCAAACCUUCCUUCUGUUCCUCCCUCUUCCUAUCACAUCCAGGAUGAAAUAACUACAUUUCAUAUAGUUAAUUUAUACCUGCUGCUCAGCAAGCAUAUCCUUUUCAUGCAGCCAAGGGCAAGGGUGUCUGUGGGGGCAAGAGAAAGAAGGAAAAUGUGAGUUUCCACUUAGCCAGUGAGUUAGCGGCUCAGCAAGAGAACAAAGCUAGUGCAAACAAAGAAGACGAGAGUAAGGAAGGAUAAAUCCUAAGUGUUUCCCUAGCCUGGAAAUUUCCGGAUGUGAUCCCUGUCAGAGUCACCAGGUGAUGCAUCUGAGCACGAGUUUUCUGUUGUCAUGACUUCCGGAGAGCAAGCAGCCUGUUGUACAAGCCCUGCCCUCCUUUGGCUGUUUUUCCCACAGGCACCUACAGGCUUAAAUUAUAAAAGCUGUGACUUUUUAAAGAAAUAUGAAUUGAGGCUUGGCACAGUGGCUCAUGCCUGUAAUCCCAGCACUUUAGGAGGCCAAGAUGGGAGGAUUUCUUGAGCCCUGAAAUUAGAGACCAGCCUAGACAACAUAGUGAGACCCCGACUCUACAAAAACUUUUGAAAUCAGUCAGGCAUGGUGGUGUGUUCCUGUAGUCCCAGCUACUUGGGAGGCUGAGGUGGGAGGAUCGCUUGAGCCCAGGAGGUUGAGGCUGCAGUGAGCCAUAAUUGCAUCACUGCACUCCAGCCUGAAUGACAGAGCAAGACCUGUCUCUAAAAAAAGAAAAAGAAACAUGAAUGGAAUAUCUCGGGUAGCCAUUCACCAUUUAUCCAUUUCUUCAGCCACUCAAAUUACUCAGUCUACCAUCCAUUCCUUGCUUUCUGUAUAUAUGUACUGAAUGCCUAUAAAGAUGGGCACUGUGUCACCUGCUACAAACUCAAUAGUGAUUUCAGCUGAAUAUGAUAGCUAAUGCUUACAGAGUGCAUACAUCAUAGGUGAUGCUAACCAUUGUGUAUGGACUAUUACAUUUAUUCCCCUUCAAUUCCCAUAAUGUUAUAAUUCCUAUUUUACAGAUUAGGAAACUGAGAUACAGCAUUCAAAGCCAUACACCUAAUAAGUGGCAGGGCCUGCAUUCAGUCCCAGAGCUCAAAAAGUUAACCAUCAUGGGCCAGGCGCAGUGGCUCAUGCGUGUAAUCCCAGCACUUUGGGAGGUCAAAGUGUGCGGAUCAUGAGGUCAGGAGAUUGAGACCAUCCCGGCCAAUAUAGUGAAACCCCGUCUCUACUAAAAAUAGAAAAAUUAGCUGGGCAUGGUGGUGUGUGCCUGUAAUCCCAGUUACUCAGGGGGCUGAGGCAGGAGAAUUGCUUGAACCCAAGAAGCGGAGGUUGCAAUGAGCCGAGAUCGCACCACUGUACUCCAGCCUGGAGACAGAGCUAGACUCCAUCUUAAAAAAAAAAAAAGUUAACCAUCAUGAUAGAUAGACACAGCACCUGCCCCCAUAGAUGUUAUAGUUUAAUUCAGGAAUAGUUAAUAGCUUACCCCAUGCUAGUGUUUCUUCCCCUGUGUUAGAUUUCAAUUGCUGCAUCACAAAUUAGCACAAAAUAAGCAACUUAUAACAAUACACUUUUUAAUUUCACAAUUUCCAUGGGUGAAGAGUCUAGGAACAGCUUAACUGGGUCCUCUGCUCAGAGUCUUACGAGGCUGAAAUCAAGGUGUUGGUUGAGGCUCAAAAGUCACUGAGAUCUCUGUGGAUCUAUAAAAAUCUCCACAAUAUCUGCACUGUUAUCGUGAUGAUUAUUCUUCAGUACUAUGUUAAUACUUCAGUAGAACUUACUGCUCUGACCAUGCUGUCUUUUCUACUAAUGAGCAAACGUCCUGUGCAAGCUCUAGAAAGUCUGCACUUUUUCUCUGGUGCCAAUUUUUUAUUAUAUUAUGCCUCUUGCCUCAUGUUUCAAGUUGUAACCAUCUUGAUACCUUAUUCCAUAACCUACAUAAGCUUAACACUUAACGGUAGAUCUUGCAGUAACAAUAUGUGAUAUAUACAUAUGUGUGUGCCUGCGUGCAUGUGUGUGUAUGUGUAUUCAGUGAUA
rnacentral:lncRNA from 10 species